rnacentral:rRNA from 1 species
ACGGUCCUAAGGUAGCGAAAUUCCUUGUCGGGUAAGUUCCGACCUGCACGAAUGGCGUAAUGAUGGCCAGGCUGUCUCCACCCGAGACUCAGUGAAAUUGAACUCGCUGUGAAGAUGCAGUGUACCCGCGGCAAGACGGAAAGACCCCGUGAACCUUUACUAUAGCUUGACACUGAACAUUGAGCCUUGAUGUGUAGGAUAGGUGGGAGGCUUUGAAGUGUGGACGCCAGUCUGCAUGGAGCCGACCUUGAAAUACCACCCUUUAAUGUUUGAUGUUCUAACGUGGACCCGUAAUCCGGGUUGCGGACAGUGUCUGGUGGGUAGUUUGACUGGGGCGGUCUCCUCCUAAAGAGUAACGGAGGAGCACGAAGGUUGGCUAAUCCUGGUCGGACAUCAGGAGGUUAGUGCAAUGGCAUAAGCCAGCUUGACUGCGAGCGUGACGGCGCGAGCAGGUGCGAAAGCAGGUCAUAGUGAUCCGGUGGUUCUGAAUGGAAGGGCCAUCGCUCAACGGAUAAAAGGUACUCCGGGGAUAACAGGCUGAUACCGCCCAAGAGUUCAUAUCGACGGCGGUGUUUGGCACCUCGAUGUCGGCUCAUCACAUCCUGGGGCUGAAGUAGGUCCCAAGGGUAUGGCUGUUCGCCAUUUAAAGUGGUACGCGAGCUGGGUUUAGAACGUCGUGAGACAGUUCGGUCCCUAUCUGCCGUGGGCGCUGGAGAACUGAGGGGGGCUGCUCCUAGUACGAGAGGACCGGAGUGGACGCAUCACUGGUGUUCGGGUUGUCAUGCCAAUGGCACUGCCCGGUAGCUAAAUGCGGAAGAGAUAAGUGCUGAAAGCAUCUAAGCACGAAACUUGCCCCGAGAUGAGUUCUCCCUGAGACUUAGAGUCUCCUGAAGGAACGUUGAAGACGACGACGUUGAUAGGCCGGGUGUGUAAGCGCAGCGAUGCGUUGAGCUAACCGGUACUAAUGAACCGUGAGGCUUAACCUUACAACGCCGAAG